rnacentral:rRNA from 1 species
GAUGAACGCUGGCGGCGUGCUUAACACAUGCAAGUCGAACGGUGAAAGAGAGCUUGCUCUCUGGAUCAGUGGCGAACGGGUGAGUAACACGUGAGCAAUCUGCCCCUGACUCUGGGAUAAGCGCUGGAAACGGCGUCUAAUACCGGAUACGAGCUGCGAAGGCAUCUUCAGCAGCUGGAAAGAACUUCGGUCAGGGAUGAGCUCGCGGCCUAUCAGCUAGUUGGUGAGGUAAUGGCUCACCAAGGCGUCGACGGGUAGCCGGCCUGAGAGGGUGACCGGCCACACUGGGACUGAGACACGGCCCAGACUCCUACGGGAGGCAGCAGUGGGGAAUAUUGCACAAUGGGCGCAAGCCUGAUGCAGCAACGCCGCGUGAGGGACGACGGCCUUCGGGUUGUAAACCACUUUUAGCAGGGAAGAAGCGAAAGUGACGGUACCUGCAGAAAAAGCACCGGCUAACUACGUGCCAGCAGCCGCAGUAACAC